UUUCACUGUCUGUGGACAUUAAAAAAGCGAGCGGCGGCGGCGGGCGCCUGGGAGAGCAAGCGGCCGGGCGGCUGGCGGGCGAGCAGCGAUCGGGCGGCAGAGCGAGCGAGCAAAGCCAGCGCAGCGCUGUGACCCCAGCCUCAGCCGGCGCGGAGAGGAGACAGAACCGAGCAGAUCUCGGCGCCCUAGCUGCGCUCCUCCCGGCCGGAGCCAGCCCUACCCCGCGGUGGCGGCGGCGGCGGCGCGUCCUCCAGCGGCGGUAGCGGCGCUCGCAGCGCUCGGACUUGGUGGCUUUGCUUCCAUAUAGCGGGGCUGCUGGGGCCUCCUCCUUCUCCUGACGCUCACAGCAGCCUCCAGUCCUGGUCCACUGGCAGAGGCCUUGGCAGGAGGAAGAGGAGGCCUGUUGGUGUCAGACCAAUGCUGCAAGGGGUGUGAGGACAGGAGCCAUCAUCCAUCAUUGAGCUGCCAGACCUGCAAAGGAUGGAGCUAGAGUGAGGUGGAGGGGCCGCCAGCUGCUGACCAGCGUGUGAGACACUGGUGGCUCUCGGAUCACUAAGGCUGGACAACGUUCAUGGCUCUCGGGUAGAACCCAGUGAAACGGCCAGAAUGAAUUCUAUGGACAGGCACAUCCAGCAGACCAAUGACCGACUGCAGUGCAUCAAGCAGCACUUACAGAAUCCUGCCAACUUCCAUAAUGCUGCCACGGAGCUGCUGGACUGGUGCGGAGACCCAAGAGCCUUCCAGCGGCCCUUCGAGCAGAGCCUGAUGGGCUGUUUAACGGUGAGUCCUCA